CCCAGGAAUCAUAGACGAUCGUAAUGAAUUGAUGGUUUACGUCUGCAUUCGGAUCAAUUACGUAGAAAAAGUAACAUUUCAAGACGAUUCAAGGCAUAUUAAAAAGGUGAGAUGCGGUAGAAACCCAAAAAUUCGACUUUUGACCCCCUUUUUGGCAUGAAAACCCAUCUGACACCCAGGAAUCAUAGAGGAUCGUAAUGAAUUGAUGGUUUACGUCUGCAUUCGGAUCAAUUACGUAGAAAAAGUAACAUUUCAAGACGAUUCAAGGCAGAUUAGAGAGGUGAGAUGCGGUAGAAACCCAAAAAUUCGUCUUUUGACCCCUUUUUUGGCAUGAAAACCCAUCUGAGACCCAGGAAUCAUAGAGGAUCGCAAUGAAUUGAUGGUUUACGUCUGCAUUUGGAUCAAUUACGUACAAAAAGUAACAUUUCAAGACGAUUCAAGGCAUAUUAGAGAGGUGAGAUGCGGUAGAAACCCAAAAAUUCGUCUUUUAUUAUAUUUUGUCUUAUAUCGUAUAUUCGUUCGUAUAUUCGUCUUAUAUCAUAUUUAUAAAUAUAUAUAUACACA